UACAGAGGUCUCAAGCGUUGUUCGGAUUCAUUGGGCGUAAAGGGUGCGUAGGCGGCGCGGUAAGUCGGGCGUGAAAUCUCGGAGCUUAACUCCGAAACUGCAUUCGAUACUGCCGUGCUUGAGGACUGGAGAGGAGACUGGAAUUUACGGUGUAGCGGUGAAAUGCGUAGAUAUCGUAAGGAAGACCAGUGGCGAAGGCGGGUCUCUGGGCAAUAACUGACGCUGAGGAGCGAAAGCGUGGGGAGCGAACAGG
rnacentral:rRNA from 1 species